rnacentral:rRNA from 1 species
UACGAAGGGUGCAAGGCGUUACUCGGAAUUACUGGGCGUAAAGCGUGCGUAGGUGGUCGUUUAAGUCUGUUGUGAAAGCCCUGGGCUCAACCUGGGAACUGCAGUGGAAACUGGACGGACUAGAGUGUGGUGAGAGGGUAGCGGAAUUCCCGGUGUGAGCAGUGAAAUGCGUAGAGAUCGGGAGGAACAUCCAUGGCGAAGGCAGCUACCUGGACCAACACGUGACACUGAGGCACGAAAGCGUGGGGAGCAAACAGG